UCGGGUAAGUCUUAUACGACCAGCUCCCUCUGAAAUCCCCCAGGACAGGAAUGUAGCAAGGGUAGUGCGAUAUGAGUAGCUUACCCU
rnacentral:SRP_RNA from 1 species